UACCUGCAGCUCAAGUGGUGGCCGUUAUUAUUGGGCCUAAAACGUCCGUAGCCGGUUUAUUAAAUGCCUGGGUAAAUCGGGCCGCUUAACGGUUCGAAUUCCGGGUAGACUGAUAGACUUGGGACCGGGAGAAGCUAGAGGUACUCCUGGGGUAGAGGUGAAAUUCUGUAAUCCUAGGGGGACCACCAGUGGCGAAGGCGUCUAGCUAGAACGGGUCUGACGGUGAGGGACGAAGCCCUGGGGCGCAAACCGGAUUAGAUACCCGGGUAGUCCAGGGUGUAAACGCUGCUUGCUUGAUGUUAGUCGGGCUCCGAGCCCGAUUAGUGUCGGAGAGAAGUUGUUUAAGCAAGCUGCCUGGGAAGUACGGCCGCAAGACUGAAACUUAAAGGAAUUGGCGGGGAGCACAGCAACGGGUGGAGCGUGCGGUUU
rnacentral:rRNA from 1 species